rnacentral:rRNA from 1 species
UGACGAAAGGACAGGCGGUAUGGGAUGGGGAUGCGUCUGAUUAGCUUGUUGGCGGGGUAACGGCCCACCAAGGCGACGAUCAGUAGGGGUUCUGAGAGGAAGGUCCCCCACAUUGGAACUGAGACACGGUCCAAACUCCUACGGGAGGCAGCAGUGAGGAAUAUUGGUCAAUGGGCGCAAGCCUGAACCAGCCAAGUAGCGUGAGGGAAGACUGCCCUACGGGUUGUAAACCUCUUUUGUUUGGGAAUAAAGUGCGGGACGCGUCCCGCAUUGCAUGUACCAUUUGAAUAAGGACCGGCUAAUUCCGUGCCAGCAGCCGCGGUAAUACGGAAGGUCCGGGCGUUAUCCGGAUUUAUUGGGUUUAAAGGGAGCGCAGGCCGUGGGUUAAGCGUGUCGUGAAAUUCCGUCGCUCAACGGCGGACGUGCGGCGCGAACUGGUCCACUUGAGUACGCGGGACGUUGGCGGAAUUCGUGGUGUAGCGGUGAAAUGCUUAGAUAUCACGAAGAACUCCGAUUGCGAAGGCAGCUGACGGUAGCGCAACUGACGCUGAGGCUCGAAAGUGCGGGUAUCGAACAGGAUUAGAUACCCUGGUAGUCCGCACGGUAAACGAUGGAUGCCCGCUAUUCGCCCACCUGGGCGAGUGGCCAAGCGAAAGCGUUAAGCAUCCCACCUGGGGAGUACGCCGGCAACGGUGAAACUCAAAGGAAUUGACGGGGGCCCGCACAAGCGGAGGAACAUGUGGUUUAAUUCGAUGAUACGCGAGGAACCUUACCCGGGCUUGAAUUGCAGAGGAAGGAUUUAGAGAUAAUGACGCCCUUCGGGGCCUCUGUGAAGGUGCUGCAUGGUUGUCGUCAGCUCGUGCCGUGAGGUGUCGGCUUAAGUGCCAUAACGAGCGCAACCCCUCUCCGUAGUUGCCAUCGGGUGAUGCCGGGCACUCUGCGGACACUGCCACCGUAAGGUGUGAGGAAGGUGGGGAUGACGUCAAAUCAGCACGGCCCUUACGUCCGGGGCUACACACGUGUUACAAUGGGGCAUACAGAGCGCCGGCGGCCGGCAACGUCCGUCCAAUCGCAAAAGUGUCCCCCAGUUCGGACUGGGGUCUGCAACCCGACCCCACGAAGCUGGAUUCGCUAGUAAUCGCGCAUCAGCCAUGGCGCGGUGAAUACGUUCCCGGGCCUUGUACACACCGCCCGUCAAGCCAUGG